rnacentral:rRNA from 1 species
AGAGUUUGAUCCUGGCUCAGAACGAACGCUGGCGGCGUGGAUAAGACAUGCAAGUCGAACGGAGAAUAUUCGGUAGCAAUAUUGGAUAUUCUUAGUGGCGAAAGGGUGCGUAACACGUGGGUAAUCUACCGUAAAGUUCGGAAUAACUCCGAGAAAUCGAAGCUAAUACCGGAUGUGAUCUGACAGGGACAUCCCUGUUUCUUUAAAGCUAGGGACCUUCGGGCCUGGCGCUUUACGAUGAGCCCGCGUCCUAUCAGCUUGUUGGUGAGGUAACGGCUCACCAAGGCUAAGACGGGUAGCCGGUCUGAGAGGAUGAUCGGCCACACUGGAACUGAGACACGGUCCAGACACCUACGGGUGGCAGCAGUCGAGAAUCAUUCACAAUGGGGGAAACCCUGAUGGUGCGACGCCGCGUGGGGGAUGAAGGUCUUCGGAUUGUAAACCCCUGUCAUUAGUGAACAAACCUUUCGGGUUAAUAGCCCGAAAGCUGAUAGUAGCUAAAGAGGAAGGGACGGCUAACUCCGUGCCAGCAGCCGCGGUAAUACGGAGGUCCCAAGCGUUGUUCGGAUUUACUGGGCGUAAAGGGUGCGUAGGUGGCCAGGAAAGUCUGAUGUGAAAGCCCCGAGCUCAACUCGGGAAAUGCAUUGGAUACUACUUGGCUUGAGGAUCGGAGGGGAGACUGGAAUUCUCGGUGUAGCAGUGAAAUGCGUAGAUAUCGAGAGGAACACCAGUGGCGAAGGCGAGUCUCUGGACGAUACCUGACACUGAGGCACGAAAGCUAGGGGAGCAAACAGGAUUAGAUACCCUGGUAGUCCUAGCCGUAAACGGUGCACACUUGCUGUAGGUGGAUUCGACCCCAUCUGUGGCGGAGCAAACGCGUUAAGUGUGCCGCCUGGGAGUACGGCCGCAAGGUUAAAACUCAAAUGAAUUGACGGGGACCCGCACAAGCGGUGGAGCAUGUGGUUUAAUUCGAUGCAACGCGAAAAACCUUACCUACUCUUGACAUCCUUGGAAUCUCUUGUAAUGAGAGAGUGCCUUUUGGAACCAAGUGACAGGUGCUGCAUGGCUGUCGUCAGCUCGUGUCGUGAGAUGUUCCGUUAAGUCGGAUAACGAGCGCAACCCUUACCCUUAUUUGCCAGCGGUUCGGCCGGGAACUAUAAGGGGACUGCCGGUGAAAAACCGGAGGAAGGUGAGGA